ACUAGACAAGCUAAGAGCAAAGCCACGUGAUCGCAGGCUGGCCGACCUCCGCUCGUCACCGUUUCCUCUCCUUUCUACCCUCUGCUCCACUUCUGGCUACUUCCUUCAGAUAAGAAGCUGAAUCAUCCCACAGGAAGAGCAAGAUGUCAUGCUGUUUCAUGUAGCUCCCAGCGCUCAGGAGACCUGUGGUGGUACACUGUGACUGUUCAGGAAUAUUCUUUGCUCCUCCAACGGUCUGCCCCACUGCACAGAAGUCAAUUUUUCAUUUGACAACCCAGACCACUUGUGAGAGAACUCUUCAUCUGUCUGGGAUCUGAGGAGUUGUGCCCCGAGGCUGGGUACCUAACUUAGUUCAGACGGUCUUUGUCUGAAGAGGUCACAUGUAAUUAAUGGGACAUACCCUGCAUCUAUUUAAGUUGACAUCAUGAUAGCCUUGGCCAAGGCUUUAUAAUUCAGAAGAUACCAUGAAACAUUUUGGUCAACAAGACUGGAGAAAGGUAUCUGCUCAAGACCUUUAUGGAGGCUGUGGAGUCCACUAAAGGAAGAAGACUUGGAGAGAGAGAACAAAUUUAAAUGCAGGCAAAGUUCCUUCUUGUUACGGGAAAUGGCUGUAGGGUCUGGAGACUUGAGUCUUUGCCACAUCCCAGACACUGUUUAGACCACACUGUUAACCUUUUACAGUCUAGGCCUCUUCAUUGCUCAGGUUAAUUUUUCCAAGAGAAUUACUUCAAUUAUUUCUAUUGCCUGAAAGACUAUUUU
rnacentral:sRNA from 1 species